rnacentral:lncRNA from 1 species
UUUUCCUUUAGUCAGCAUUAGGGUUUUAAACCCUAAACUGAAUUUUUUCCAUUCAGUCAGCAUUAGGGUUUUAAAUCCUAAACUGAACUUUUUCCAUUCAGUCAACAUUAGGGUUUUAAACCCUAAACUGAACUCUUUCCUUUAGUCAGCAUUAGGGUUUUAAACCCUAAACUAAACUUUUUCAUUCAGUCAUCAUUAGGGUUUUAAACCCUAAACUGAACUUUUCCCAUUCAGUCAGCAUUAGGGUUUUUGAAACCCUAAACUGAAC